rnacentral:rRNA from 1 species
AGAGUUUGAUCCUGGCUCAGGAUGAACGCUGGCGGCGUGCUUAACACAUGCAAGUCGAACGGAAAGGCCUCUUCGGAGGUACUCGAGUGGCGAACGGGUGAGUAACACGUGGGCAAUCUGCCCUGCACUUCGGGAUAAGCCUGGGAAACUGGGUCUAAUACCGGAUAGGACCUCAAGACGCAUGUCUUCUGGUGGAAAGCUUUUGCGGUGUGGGAUGGGCCCGCGGCCUAUCAGCUUGUUGGUGGGGUGACGGCCUACCAAGGCGACGACGGGUAGCCGGCCUGAGAGGGUGUCCGGCCACACUGGGACUGAGAUACGGCCCAGACUCCUACGGGAGGCAGCAGAAGGG